GUCUACGGCCACACCACCCUGAACACACCCGAUCUCGUCUGAUCUCGGAAGAAAAAGAAGGAGAGGGCCAGAUGAUGCACACUUGGUAGAGGGUACAUGUUGCCAUGCUUG
rnacentral:rRNA from 1 species